UUGCUUUAUAUUAAUACGAUAUAACUGCGAAAAUGUCACUGCCCAAAUCAAUUUCAAGCAUCUGUUUCUUAGUAGUAGUACGUUCAGUGAUAAACUAAUAAGCAACGCAUGUUCCACGUUAACAACAUAUCAAAGUUUACGUCUCCAUGCUUAGUGGUGCUAAUCGUACCUUUUGGUUGCUUAAGUCAAAGUAUUUUGACUAAGUUGUCGGUCGAGGCUCGAGGUUAAAAAAUGGUAGGUCCACACUCCACACCAAAAUGUCGGUGCUCGGAAAAAUAUACCGUCCAAACCGGUCAUCAAGCGAAUUUUAUGGAUGUCGGAACUUGCACACGUGUUGGUGUCUCUUAGUGGCACACCCCUCUCCGUCUCGUUUUGAUGUGGAAACUGUACUUAACAUAUCCAGCUCGAUCUUUUUUUUUUCCAUCUGAAAAUAUUCAUUCACCAAAGAAUACAACCAUUGUUACAAACUAAAGCCAACAUAACAAGCAAUUAGAACCCACACAGGACAGUUUAUAUGAUCAAAGAACAAGAACACAUACAUUACUACAAAAGAAAAUUCCAAACCCCCCAUGAUAGUAGUACACUAAACUUGCAAUAGCUUUUGAACGAGAUUUAUCGUUGUCGCCCUGGGCCCACCGAACGAUAACAUCAACCUCUACAACACCGAGAGCACACCUCUCCAACCCAACGAAACCAGACUUUAUAACCCGGCAAGAUACAUCCACUCUAGGACCACAUUCUCUUCCGGAUACGGCAGCGACACAACUUCAUUGCGUCCAAGCUAUGCCUCAAUAAAAGUCUUACAAAGAACACCCCAAUCUCAACAGAUUUGGAAAUCAACGAGGUCAAACCCGUCAACGACAACCGAACACAUAAGAGACCGGCAGCUACAGACGGGAAAGCGUUCACACCAUCAUCAAGAACCCGAAAACACUACAAGCUUAAGACCAAAAACACUAGAGGGUCCACUAAUUUCCCGAGAAAGAUAACAGCCAAAAGACUAUCUAAACUUUAUGAAAAGCACAUAACUAAAAAUAAAAUUAGAUCUACUUGCUGGAUAAGAAGCCGGAACAGAGCCCACAACCUUCAGAGACGAGAUCCACAAAACUCGCUUAACCACCACAUCCACAACGAACCGAUUCAGACGAAGAACCAAGGACGAGUGUUUCACGCGCUUCGCGCGCCUACACGAACCGGACCGUGCGGUUAAACGGAGGCGGAUAGAUCUGAGCCCUCAGGAUAGGAAGCCACUGGUAGGGUUGAGAGAGUCACUGCUGCAUCAUCACUUCUUCAGAUCUGGGGCUCACACACCAACAUCGAAGUGGAGCUCAAACGGUGGACCGUUGCUUCAUCAUACAACAAGGAGACCGAGAAUUUUGCAAAAAAACAGAACACAAGGACAGGCUCAACGCCGCCAAUGGACGCUGGCCGAACAUAAAUCGAGUUUUCUUCUUCGAGGAGAGAGGAAGGGGUCUGAUAUUUUACUCAAACCUGCUUUUGUAUCCAGCUCGAUCUUAAACCUGAAAAUUAAUUUUGUCGACGAAAUAUAUGACGUUAUUAUAAGAAUAUUCUUUGAACCGGAG
rnacentral:lncRNA from 1 species